GCCAGCCCGCUCAGAAACUUAAAGGAAUUGACUGGGGGCCCGCACAAGCGGUGGAGUAUGUGGUUUAAUUCGAUGCAACGCGAAGAACCUUACCUGGUCUUGACAUCCCGGAGACCCUUAGGAAACUAGGGGGUGCUUCCAUCUGGAAGAAUCUGGAGACAGGUGCUGCAUGGCUGUCGUCAGCUCGUGUCGUGAGAUGUUGGGUUAAGUCCCGCAACGAGCGCAACCCUUGCCUUUAGUUGCCAGCAGUUCGGCUGGGCACUCUAAAGGGACUGCCGGUGUUAAACCGGAGGAAGGUGGGGAUGACGUCAAGUCCUCAUGGCCUUUAUGACCAGGGCUACACACGUACUACAAUGGCCGAUACAAAGGGCAGCGACACUGCGAGGUGAAGCCAAUCCCGUAAAAUCGGUCUCAGUCCGGAUUGGAGUCUGCAACUCGACUCCAUGAAGUUGGAAUCGCUAGUAAUCGUGGAUCAGCAUGCCACGGUGAAUACGUUCCCGGGCCUU
rnacentral:rRNA from 1 species